rnacentral:lncRNA from 1 species
CCCAUAUUUUCACCCAUUGUUAUCUUACCUUUAAUAUUGUUCUUAUUUACACCUACCUAUCCAUCUAGGUUAAGUUAGAGCAUAGAUCCGUUCUCCCGUUUUCCUGUGGAUACGAUAAAACCUUUAACCGGGUAAAAGCUACAACGGUAUUCUUGCGCUUGCGGAUUUAUCUGUGUGCGUAUAAAUACCAUAGUACACUCUAGUGUCAUGCUAGGGAUGACAACCUAGUAUUCAAGUGGUGUUAGCAAGUGUCAACAAGCAUUUUUGGCGCCGUUGCCGGGGAAACGGUUGCUGAGUUCACUACGAACUAGCUUAAUCAUUUUCUAAAAAAUAAAAAAAAUAUACUUUUCCUUUUAUCUUUUGCCUUAUCUCUGCUAUUCUUUCUUCUUAUCUAAUCCUUGAUCUCUGGUCUAUCAUGAAUUCAAACAUGUCUAUCUAUGAAUUUCAUAGACCUAUGGGCACACAUCUCGAACCACCCAAAUCUUCAAAGCCUAUCAUAGCAUCUAGUUUUGAGAUAGACCCCGAAUACAUAUAAUUUGUUCAAAAACAACCUUUCUCAGG